UGGCGGCGUAGGAAAAGGUGAUCUUGACGCGCUCGGGUUGCGGCUCGAUUCUGCCGAUCCUCCCGACGGCCACCCCC
rnacentral:tRNA from 1 species